rnacentral:rRNA from 1 species
GACUUCGGUCUGGUGGCGAGUGGCGAACGAGGUGAGUAAUGUAUCGGAACGUGCCUAGUAGCGGGGGAUAACUACGCGAAAGCGUAGCUAAUACCGCAUACGCCCUACGGGGGAAAGCAGGGGAUCGCAAGACCUUGCACUAUUAGAGCGGCCGAUAUCGGAUUAGCUAGUUGGUGGGGUAACGGCUCACCAAGGCGACGAUCCGUAGCUGGUUUGAGAGGACGACCAGCCACACUGGGACUGAGACACGGCCCAGACUCAUACGGGAGGCAGCAGUGGGGAAUUUUGGACAAUGGGGGAAACCCUGAUCCAGCCAUCCCGCGUAUGCGAUGAAGGCCUUCGGGUUGUAAAGCACUUUUGGCAGGAAAGAAACGUCAUGGGCUAAUACCCCGUGAAACUGACGGUACCUGCAGAAUAAGCACCGGCUAACUACGUGCCAGCAGCCGCGGUAAUACGUAGGGUGCAAGCGUUAAUCGGAAUUACUGGGCGUAAAGCGUGCGCAGGCGGUUCGGAAAGAAAGAUGUGAAAUCCCAGAGCUUAACUUUGGAACUGCAUUUUUAACUACCGAGCUAGAGUGUGUCAGAGGGAGGUGGAAUUCCGCGUGUAGCAGUGAAAUGCGUAGAUAUGCGGAGGAACACCGAUGGCGAAGGCAGCCUCCUGGGAUAACACUGACGCUCAUGCACGAAAGCGUGGGGAGCAAACAGGAUUAGAUACCCUGGUAGUCCACGCCCUAAACGAUGUCAACUAGCUGUUGGGGCCUUCGGGCCUUGGUAGCGCAGCUAACGCGU